rnacentral:rRNA from 1 species
UACGGAGGGAGCAAGCGUUACUCGGAAUUAUUGGGCGUAAAGGGCGCGUAGGCGAUCCGACAAGUCUGGUGUGAAAGCCCACAUGUUAACUGUGGAAGUGCAUUAGAAACUGUUGGAUUUGAGUUCAGGAGAGGAAAGCAGAAUUCCCGGUGUAGCGGUGAAAUGCGCAGAUAUCGGGAAGAACACCCGUGGCGAAGGCGGUUCUCUGGGACGGUACUGACGCUGAGACGCGAAAGCGUGGGGAGCGAACGGG